UACUUGAGCUACAAAAGAUGCCACCAUACGUUUUCAACAGAGGAACCAAAUUCAGCUUCGUCCACCACCGCCUCUACUGCAAUCUCUUUUCAAGCCCCAAGAAUUAAUAUCUCCACCACACCAAGAACUCACCUCCUUUCUCCGACCUCCUCAACACCCAUCCCCGAUUGUCACUUGAGAUGCAGACCUGAAUCAUUUUCUGAGACAUCGAAUUCCUCUGCCAGUGGAACAUGCUUCAGCGUCCUAUGGCAUUCACGAAUCGAUUGUCCUUAGAACAUGCCCCCUCUCUGAUAAACACAUUAUUCAUUUGUGUAUUUUGAUUUCUUCCUGCUUUCAUCCAUGAUCCAUGUCUUCUUUUUUUAUUUUGAUUUUGAUUUUGGUUGCAGGUCUUCUCAAUGAUGGGAUGAUCACAAAGGGUUUGGUUGUUUCUCUACUUCUAAUUAGGCAGUCAAUGACCAUUUGAUGUCCAAAAUGGUAGUUUUUACAUUUUGACUCAACAUAGGAGAUCCUUUUAAUGAUUUUGUUGCAGGUUACAGGAAAUAAAGAUCAUGAUGUUGAAGGUUGCAAUUAGUUGCCACGUGCAUGUUUUUCUCCUCAUCUUUCUUAUUAUGGUUUGAAAAGGGUUUGGUUUUCUGCUUGGUGUGUCAUUGUACAAAUACACUGCUGGUUGGAGAAAAAUCUAACUAAGGCUGAGUUGUUGCAGAUGAGAAGAGAGAAAGAGAGUAUAUGAGGUUCACAGGAAAAUGGACCAAUCGGAACUUGAACACGACUUGGGUGGCUUGGAUGUGAUGUGGAAAUUGGUCAAAGAGGAGGAAACGAUACAAGGUUUUUGAUUCGGUAGUGAGUCUGCAUUUUUUCAUAGAAAGAUCCCUUUUUUUAAGCCAAACAACGUAAAUCAAUCUCAAUGAGUGAGAUGAAAUGUGUAUUGUGUCGUGAUUCUCUCCUCUCAUUUCAAAUCAUUAUCCUUCAUGAUUUUGUAUUUGUAGAAACACAGGAAGCUGUUAAUAUGCUAAUGUUAUCGAAACCAAUAUGUAUGGUGUAGGAUCUGGAGGAGCAGAUGCCUUGCUCUGUCCUUCGUUCACUUGGACCACUUCUCUUUCAGUUAUCCUAGCAACUGGCAAGUCAAACCCAAAUUCAUGAAAUUCAUGCUAUUUUUUUGUUUAAAAUUGAAGCCCAACUCAAACUAUGGAUUCCAUUUCUUUUUUGACAAAACUGCUGCAUGGAUUGAUGAGGUAAAGACAGAGGGAGAGAUAGAGAAAGAAAGAAGUUUUCCCUUCUAAGUGUAUUUUUUUGUCAACAUUUUAAAUUAUUAAUGAAAUUUUUGAAAUUGAGUGGUGAGUUGUCUGCACUUCUCUUGAGUACUUUUUUUUCUACAUUCCUGCACUGUUUAUGAAACCACAUUAUUUUUUAAGUUAGGAUUUGCAUAUUAUAUUCGAUGAUAAGAGAACAAUACAUUAUCUACUCGAGGUUGGAUAUGUUAGGAAAAUUUAUCUACUUUUAGCCCAAAGGUGGAAAAGCUAUGAUCAUAUUGGGAAUUUGAUUGAAUGAUGUGGGUGAAAUUGAAGUUCUGUGAAAAGGAUUUUCAUGGAUUUUGUUGUAAUUUUUUCAUCUGUGUUGUUCUGUGAUGGAUGCCUUGGCUGAUGGUAGUUUUUCUAGGAUCCUUGGAUUCAGUGACCUUAGGAACUUUUCUAUUAAGAUGUUUGUAUUUUUUACAAAUACACGAUGAGACUAUUGUUCAUGAUGGAAAAGAAAUGGAUAUUGUGGAAGAGGAAUUCAAGCAAGGCUGUGGUUUACUGAUAUGACUUAUGAAGGACAAAUUCAUGCUUCUGUGUUAGAAAGUCUUGGUAAAAAAGUUUGAAAGGAUUCUUAGAGAAGGAUCAGUUUAUUCCCUGCAAAUAUUACAAGUAAGAUAUAGUUAAAUUUUAGUUUUGUUCAACUUUUUAACCGUGUCAUUGUUUGCUACAUCAGAUCUUGAUAAAUUUAUGUUGUUUCCCAUCUCUUCCGUGGAGUACUUGAUCCAGCGCACCUCUUUAAGUUUUUUCAGUUAUCAAUUUAUUUUGUCUUUUUUAGUUGUUCAAUUACUCAUUUUCAUCUAAUUUUUGUGCUUAUUCUAACUGUUUAAGCAGCAAUGUCGAGAGCAAACAUUUUGCUAGACCAUUACCUCAGAUUGUUAAGCAUCCCCAACUUUUGUGCCUCUCAAUGAAAUCUAUUGAGGCAUGCUUGAUUUUCCCAUCUGAUUGGUACACUUUGUGGUUGUUGUUUGUUAGUAUUUAUUAGCGUUAUGAAUCUCUUACCUACACAUUAAUUUGUAGAUUAAUGGGCAUGCACUAUGUAGCACUGAGAAGCAUGAAAGACAGGUAAAGAUAAAUAAGAUGAAUGCCAUUGAGUUGGAAAUCUUGGGGUAGUGGCACAUUUUUUACAACAUGUGUUAUGUGUUAAUGAACUAUGUCUUGACAGUGUAUUUUUCCCCACAUUUGUGAGGAUCAAUUUUGCUUUGUAGGGAAUAAACCGAGGAAGGUCCCUCACAUCUAUCAUGUUUUCAUAAGAAGAUAGGAAGAACUUGCCCUAUUGGCUAUGGAUAAAGUUGAACCACUUUCAAAUACAAGUCGGGAUGACGUAGGAAGAUCCAUCGUCAAAAAUUGUAACACAACCCAUUGAGAAUAUGAGCAGAUUCCUUGGCCUUGAAGGAGCUUCUGGCUUGCGGUUAUUGGACGUUGCGGUUAUUGGACGUAAAAGACAUGACUGGUUUUAAUGUAAUUUUAGCUAAUAUUGUAGUCUUAACUGCUUUUUAUUAAAGUCCUUGAAUUAUUUUUUAGCCCUAUCAAUCCAUAUAUUAACUUUUUUUUUGA